ACAGCACAAUGGCAGAGCACCUGCUUUGCACGCAGAAGGUCCCAGGUCCAACCCCUGGCUGAUCUG